UUCUUUCGGGGUCCGAGUUGUAAUUUGUAGAGGGUGUUUCGGGUGAGGCGCCGGCCUAAGUUCCUUGGAACAGGGCGUCAUAGAGGGUGAGAAUCCCGUAUGCGGCCGGUGACCGACCCCGUGUGAAACCCCUUCGACGAGUCGGGUUGUUUGGGAAUGCAGCUCUAAAUGGGUGGUAAAUUUCAUCUAAAGCUAAAUACCGGCCAGAGACCGAUAGCGCACAAGUAGAGUGAUCGAAAGAUGAAAAGCACUUUGGAAAGAGAGUUAAAAAGUACGUGAAAUUGUUGAAAGGGAAGCGCUUGCAACCAGACCUGUGUCCGGGUGAUCAGCCGCCGUUCUCGGCGGUGUACUCGUCCGGUACAGGCCAGCAUCGGUUCGGGCGGUCGGAUAAAGGCCUUGGGAACGUAGCUCCCUUCGGGGAGUGUUAUAGCCCUCGGUGCAAUGCGGCCAGCCUGGACCGAGGACCGCGCUUCGGCUAGGAUGCUGGCGUAAUGGUUGUAAGCGGCCCGUCUUGAAACACGGACCAAGGAGUCUAACAUCUAUGCGAGUGUUUGGGUGUCAAACCCAUGCGCGGAAUGAAAGUGAACGGAGGUGAGAACCCUUAAGGGCGCAUCAUCGACCGAC
rnacentral:rRNA from 1 species